GAAAUGCGAUAAGUAAUGUGAAUUGCAGAAUUCAGUGAAUCAUCGAAUCUUUGAACGCACAUUGCGCCCGCCAGUAUUCUGGCGGGCAUGCCUGUUCGAGCGUCAUUACAACCCUCAGGCCCCCGGGCCUGGCGUUGGGGAUCGGCGGAAGCCCCCUGCGGGCACAACGCCGUCCCCCAAAUACAGUGGCGGUCCCGCCGCAGCUUCCAUUGCGUAGUAGCUAACACCUCGCAACUGGAGAGCGGCGCGGCCACGCCGUAAAACACCCAACUUCUGAAUGUUUACCUCGAAUCAGGUAGGAAUACCCGCUGAACUUAAGC
rnacentral:misc_RNA from 1 species